UCUCUGGCUCCUCCCACCACUGCUGAGCUCAGCCAAUGAGAAGGCUUGUCUCUGCAGGGUUAAAAGCAGCUUGAUGAUGAUGAUGAAGGUCUGUUAGUCUUCCUUCUGCUGCAGUGGAUCAUCUCUGUAGAUCUGCUGUCUGACCUGAACUCCUGGAACAUGUUGCUUUACCUCCUGCUCUUCUCUCUCUACAUCGCCCUGGGCUCCAUGAACACCGUCACACAGGAGCAGAGGGAACACGUCGCUUCAGAGGGAAGCCCCACCAGUUUGAGCUGCGGAUAUACUGGUUCUAUCUAUAAUGUCCAGUGGUACCGACAGCAGCAGAGAUCCAGACCAGAGUUCCUGCUCUACGUUUCAGAGUCGGGAUCGAUCCAUCCAACUCGCUCCGAUUUCUCAGCUCACAUCAAUAAAACUCAGAAACGAGGAACUCUGCUGAUCUCCUCUGCUGCAGUGACAGACUCUGCUGUGUACUACUGCGCCGUGACGCCCACAGUGACAGGAAACACCAGAACCCUGGACAAGAACCUGCAGUACUCCACAGCAGCCACUAGAGGGCCUCACUCCCUGGUUGUUGAGUCCUUGGGCUGA